GUUAUGAUGGUGCAAUGGUUGGCACGCGUCCCCGGAAAGGGUGGAAUGCGGGUUCGAAUCGCGUUCGUGGCU